rnacentral:rRNA from 1 species
AUGCACCGAAGCUGCGGCAGCGACACUAUGUGUUGUUGGGUAGGGGAGCGUUCUGUAAGCCGUUGAAGGUGGCCUGUGAGGGUUGCUGGAGGUAUCAGAAGUGCGAAUGCUGACAUAAGUAACGAUAAUGCGGGUGAAAAACCCGCACGCCGGAAGACCAAGGGUUCCUGUCCAACGUUAAUCGGGGCAGGGUGAGUCGACCCCUAAGGCGAGGCCGAAAGGCGUAGUCGAUGGGAAACAGGUUAAUAUUCCUGUACUUGGUGUUACUGCGAAGGGGGGACGGAGAAGGCUAUGUUAGCCGGUCGACGGUUGUCCCGGUUUAAGCAUGUAGGCGGAGGUUCCAGGUAAAUCCGGUACCUUUUUAACGCUGAGGUGUGAUGACGAGGCACUACGGUGCUGAAGUAACAAAUGCCCUGCUUCCAGGAAAAGCCUCUAAGCAUCAGGUAACACGAAAUCGUACCCCAAACCGACACAGGUGGUCAGGUAGAGAAUACCAAGGCGCUUGAGAGAACUCGGGUGAAGGAACUAGGCAAAAUGGUGCCGUAACUUCGGGAGAAGGCACGCUGAUAUGUAGGUGAAG